CAGUGGACUCAAUUGCCAUUAGUCCCGUUCGAUAGAGGAAAGUCGAGUUCAUUUGAUUUUUUAGAUUCGAGGACGAAUCUUUUUGAGGAAGGGGGGAAUGAUACGAGUCAAAAAAGCCCAAAUUCUUGAAGGCGAGGCCCAAUAAGCAAAUUCCCAGCCCAAUCAAGAAAUCCAUCCAUACUUAGUUGAAAAUCAGGCCAAAUUGUCAAAGUGGCCCAAGUUG
rnacentral:lncRNA from 1 species